GAGGUUUCUUCUUUCUUCACCACAUUCUGAUUUCUCAACCCUUUGAUCUCAUCUCUCGUAAUUAAUCCCCGACCUCGCCUUGCAAUUAUAUUCUUCAAACGGUCCCCCUCAAACUCGCAGUUUUACGGUUUUGGCUUCCUCACUACAAGAGAAGAAGGAAAGCGUGUCUCCAUUGUAUCGCUCGCUCUGUUCCCCAAUUCGAGUCAUUGGGCAUCCUUCGCCUUCGAGGUCAGAUUUCUUCCUCCUUCUUUCAACUAUCAUGUUCUCUGCUUCUUCCAAUUCUAGAGAUCUGCUCAUUGCGCAAAGCAACCAUAUGCUUCCAGUGAUCGCUCAUGCCUUGGAUAAGCUAUUACGCUUUUAACUCUGUCCGGUGCUCCUGAUAUCUUUCUUUUUAUUUUUGGUUAAAUUUCUAGAGCACACCGAAGAAUUUACUUCAGUUAAUUUCUGGUUCCAGGCUUGCGGUAACUUUAGUGUAGUAUUGAAUUGAAGAUCUUAAACAUGCAAUCAGUUCUUUAUUUUUUUAAUUUAAUAUUGUAUCCAAAUCAUGUAUAUCUGUAUGUGUUUCUUCAAAUUGGUAAUGAUGAGAAACUAAGACCAUUAACACCCUUGUAUUUUUAAAACACUAAUUUUUCCUGAAUGACAAUUUACAAACACCAAAAUAAGGAACAAGAACAACCUGAAACAUAUUAGCGUAGAUUAAAGAAACAUUACAAUGAUGAGAAUCUAAAUACAUUUCAAAAUUAUUUCAUUUGUACUAAAUUACUCCAUUACUGACUCCCAUGUCAAGGGAGGACUUGAGGAAAUGGUUUCUUUCUAUAGAAUGUGUGAGCACUCUUCCGCGUUUUCUAACUGUUGAAGCUCAAGUGGAUGUCUAUAUGCUGCAUAUAUUUUCCAGUUCAAGUGAGGUUCUAAUUUAUCAUGUACUUUCAACCUUCCUUACAAUGGCUUAUUUGAACUCUAGAUGUUUUUACUGAUACAAUUUUUACUUAAUUAGUCAAGGGUCCAUUAGUAUUUUUAGAAAAGAGAAGGAUUGAUUAAAAAGAAACAGUCCAAGGGAAAAAACCUCUCCCAAGUGAGGAAUACAAGACAUAAAUAAAAGCAAGAGUGAACAUCAAAAGGAUCCAAAGACAAAAGACAUGGUACAAUAACAUGAUUGGGACAACAGUGGGAAACGAGAAACAACCAGCAACUACAGCAAAAUCACUAAAACCCAAACCAGAAGCACAAAGAAAUAAGCAGCAGCCAUAGAGCAAAACGAGACAGAUGUAACAGCCAAGAACAAACACAGGAAGAGCGCACCAGGACUGCAUAUUAGAGGUCGCUGGUUGAGCAUCAAGGGCCGUAAAGGGCCAGCAUUCCGGAAGAUACCAACUAGCCAACAAAACGACAACAAAGGCACAAAGCAGAGCAAAGCAAACAGCAAACAACAGCCUCAAAACAGAGGGGAAAAAGAAACUAAGAGCAGCAGCAGAAGACCAGGGGGAGUCAAGGGUCCAGAGUUAAGACCAUAAACAAGUUUGAUUGAUAGAGUUUGAUGAUUUUGCCCACCCGGAUGUGUUUGUGUGGAAUGCUAUUAUUAGGAGUUAUUCGAGGACCAAUAUGUUUAGGAACUCUAUUGAAACGUGAAGGGGUGAAUCUGGAUGGAAUAAAGAUCACAAGAGACAGCUUGGAUAUUUAGGUAUGUGGAUAUGGUUAUGACUUAUGAGUUAUGACCAUACCAAAGAGAACUUCGUUUCCCAGGUGUGGAAUGAAUGUGGCAUUCGAUCGUGAGCUGAUAGGACGAGCAAUGUACUUUGGUCUCAUGGCCCCAUGGGUGAUGGUCAGCCUAUUGGAUGCUACGAUGACAUGCAGGAUGGCGGGUGCUUACAGGUUCAUUUUUUGCUUUUCUUACAAAUUCUUUGCAUAGCAACUUAGUGUGCAGUUGUAUUUCAGUUGAACUUAAAGUUGAUCUACAUCAACUCAACGCUAUAAAAUCCUGCUUCUCUGUUUGUGUGUUAAGGGUGGUAUGUGAAAUCAUGUUUGGA